rnacentral:rRNA from 1 species
GAGUUUGAUCCUGGCUCAGGAUGAACGCUAGCGGCAGGCUUAAUACAUGCAAGUCGAGGGGCAGCAGCUUUAUAGCAAUAUAGAGGCUGGCGACCGGCAAACGGGUGCGGAACACGUACACAACCUUCCUUGAAUAGGGGGAUAGCCCAUAGAAAUGUGGAUUAAUACCCCGUAAUAUAGCGGUGUGGCAUCACACUGUUAUUAUAGUUUCGGCGAUUCGAGAUGGGUGUGCGGCUGAUUAGGUAGUUGGCGGGGUAAAGGCCCACCAAGCCUUCGAUCAGUAGCUGAUGUGAGAGCAUGAUCAGCCACACGGGCACUGAGACACGGGCCCGACUCCUACGGGAGGCAGCAGUAAGGAAUAUUGGUCAAUGGACGCAAGUCUGAACCAGCCAUGCCGCGUGAAGGAUGAAGGUCCUCUGGAUUGUAAACUUCUUUUAUAGGGGGCGAAAAAAGGUCUUCUAGAUCACUGACAKACCGU